GCCAAAGGGAGCACACAAACAAGACUAGUGUCUGCAAAUACUAACUGAUAGAAUGAAAAAGGGAGAGAACAAUCCAACAUGGGAAGCGAGAUACACAGCAGACUCACAGAAUGGAGGAUGUCCUAAACAGCACUCUGGCCUCAGAAUCAGCCCUUAAGGCAUGCGGAUCCGGCUGAAAAGCCCAUGAGAGUAUUUCAGGCAUGGAAAGCCAAGACACUCUGGCAAAAAAAAAAAAAAAAAAAAAAAAAAAAAAAAACCUAAAUGAAAGAUCUCCAUGAGUGAGAUCCCAGUGGAAAGAACAGGUCAUCAAAGAAGGAGGUACCUUUCUCUGAAGGGAGGAGAGAACUUCCACUUUGACUACGACCUUGUCUAAAUAUGAUCAGAGUUGGUGAACCCAAAAGGCUUCCAUAGCCUUGGCAACUCAUGACAAGAGCCUAGGGUGAUUACAGACGCCAUAAACAAGAGUGUCAAAUUGUUAAGUCAACAACAGGAGUCACUGUGCACUUACUCCUCAUGUAGGAUCUCUGUCCUUAACGUGCUGUACAUUGUGAUUUAAUGCUAUAACUAGUACUCAAACAGUAUUUUUCACUUUGUGUUUCUAUGUGGGUGCAAACUGUUGAAAUCUUUACUUAAUAUAUGCUCAACUGAUCUUCUGUAUAUAAAGAGAAUUGAAAAUGAAUCUUGAUGUGAAUGGAAGGGGAGAGGGAGCGGGAAAGGGGAGGGUUGCAGGUGGGAGGGAAGUUAUGGGGGGGGGAAGCCAUUGUAAUCCAUAAGCUGUACUUUGGAAAUUUAUAUUCAUUAAAUAAAAGUUAAAAUAAAAAACCUGAUCACAAUUUUCCCAUCUUCUGUUUUCCUAUCUGGAAAAAAAAUAGGCAUCAAUAACUCAGAAAUAUAUCAGGAAUACUUGAAGAGCAUCCAUCUGCCAUUGGGACUUCCAGUAAUAUUGAUUUGUAUAUUAAUAUAGUCAUAGCAAGGAUAGCUACAUUUAAUGAAUGCUUACUACCUAUACAGCACUCAAGAUAAUUUAGUCUUAUUUAACUUCACAACCAAUUUAUGGAGCAAAUAAUAUAAUACCAUUUUACAAGUGGACUGACUCAGGCUUAAAAAUACUGGAUAAAUUAGUUGUCACUUUUCUGGCAAGCAUUAGAAGGAAAACUCUAAUCCCACAGUCUGUGAUAGUAGCUUCUAUAGUAUGCAGUUAAUGGCAGUACCACAGGAGUUAGAUUAUAUUGCCACAGUACUUACAUCAAGCUUGGAGACUCAAAAUGAAUAUGUUUCCCUGAAAAACAUGAGAAACAACCAGUGGAAAUGACUGCUGUAUUUUUUGAAUUCCAAAUUGGAACAUGAAUCUUCACAAGUCUGAAUAGAUAAGGGAAUAUAGCUGAACAGAAUCUUUGGUAUUGUGGCUGUCCUACAAAUUUUGAGAAUGGUUAAACAUGCUGAAUUAUAAUGAUCCCAUCAUAUUACCUUUUCCAAGUAAUUCAUGAAAUUUGUGGUAUUAGGUUAGAACACACAUUUUACUUCAGUUCAUUCCUAGGAUAUCAUUCUUACAAAUAUUCAAAGUUGUGUUUAAGAAACCAGUGAAGAUCAUGAGAGAGCUGUCGGAUAUGAUAGACACACAUUUUGGUGGUGUUUUCUGGCCCUUAAAUAAGAUGUAGGCAAUUUUGUUUUAAAAUCAUAAUCAUUAAACACAUGCAUUCUCAAAGCCAAACCAAGCCACCAGAAAUGUUAUUACAUUCCCCAAGCUACUUUACUUAUUUGCAGGUGAAGUAAGUCAUUUCAUCUACAGGGUGCACUUAAAGUGAGGAGCUGCAAGGAACAAUGAAGAAACAGUCUAAGGAAAGAGCAGUUUGCUGAUCAUGUGGGUGGAAUUCCAAUAAGCACAACAGAUUUGUGAAAUAUUGGAGGAUAGGGGUGUUGAGUCAAGGGAGAAAAGUCAGAAUCUGAUGGUAGUAAGAGUUGCAGAUACCAGGGAACCAGAGGGCCUUUGGAUGGUGUUCAACAAAACCAAGAAGGGUCAGAAGAGAGAGUUGCUAUAUCAGAUGAAAGACCAGCCAACACAGAGUUAGGCAACUCUGGUACUGGAUUUGGGAGUGCACUUCGGGUCACAAGGCACUCAGGGAGGACAUCCUACCAGCUUUUUCCCUAGGAAACUGGCUCUAGGUGGAAGGAAACGAAGUCAGUGGGCAUAGGAACUGAGAGCUAAACUGAAAAAGUAAAGUUCUGCUCUGAAGCACCACAUACAAGAUACUGCAGAGGAGCAGCAGAAGGAUCAUGCGUAUCAGUGCCCUGCACCAUUUUGUGCUCCCUCCUACGUGCUCCCCUUUGUUGGCCCAAGUUCUCAUCCUAUAACUUUGUCAUUCAUAUUGUCAUUCAUAGCUUGCCUUGGAGAAAUUUCUCUGGUCUCUCCGAUCUUAGGUACUGGUGAAAGGGACAUAGCAUCACUGAUUACCUGGUGUUCAUGCACAUAUGUAGUAGCUUUGGGAUCCGCAAGGAGAGAAGGCCUACAUUUCCAGGAAUGGAGAGUCCCUGACUGCACUUCAGGGAACGAAAAGUCCUUGUCAAGGUCCCCGCGGGUGCCUAAAGGUCAACCAGUGAGGAUCAGACCUGCCUCAACCUUUAACCCCCAUGCCCUGUAUCUAUAAAAGGAGCUCUCCCAACCUCUGAUGCAUGACUUCCCCGGCCCCUUCCCUGUUGGGACUCGGGAACCUCGCCAGGGAGCAGAAUCCCAAUAAAAGCCUGUAUAUUGAUUCAUCUGGCUGGGAAGAUUUGUUACACGCCGGACACCUUGCAAUACGUAAAUGAUGGAAAAUUGCUUUGGGAAGUGUAGUAAGUAGACUGAAGCACUGACUUGUUACAUUUUCGAUAGCUGCAUCAGAACUUCUCUGAUUGGCCCCAGCAUUCUAAUCGUAUCCAUGGCCUUUGGUCACUCCUUGGCAAAAUGUCACAUUAAGCCAAGAACAGGGGCUAUUACUACAGACUCCUUUCUUCUCUGCCCUCUUUCCCAGGAUUGCUCUUCAAGCUGUACCAUGGAGCCCCAUCCCUGGUGGGUAGGGCCUACUCACAGGGCAAAAGGGAGGAGCACAUAUGUGUCAUAAUGAGCAUUAUGUCAUAGCAUGGUUUGUGACAUAAAAGCUGUGAUAGGCCUGGAUAUGUUCCAGUUGCUCCUAUUUCCACUCUGAGAAGAGCAGCAGCUAGAAGCAUCUUCCACAAAUGUCAGAAAGGCUACCAAAAAUUUUUGGGAUUCAUCUCCAGGCUACUCCUUUGGCUAUUCCUCCAAAUCAGCCGCACCCCUCCGAUCCUCCACACCAGCCUCACCCUCCUCCCAGCCCUCCAUGUCAGCCCCACCAUUGUGGUCAUUCAUGCCAGCUCCACCCUCUUUCUGUCCCUUCACACCACCCUCAAACUUCUGGCCCUACAUCCCAGCUUCCCCCUCCUUGUCCUCCUGCUGGGCCUCUCAGUGCUCCUGGUCCUCCACCCCAUCCUCACCCUCCUUCUGGUCCUUCCCUCCAGCUUGCCAAACCUUCAGAUUCUGUACCCCGGCUUCCCUUCCCUUGUCAUUCACUCUACCUUAACCCCCCUGUUAUUCCACAUGAGCCUCACCCUCCUUCUGGUCCGGCACCCUGGCCUCACCGUCCUGGCCUCCCACACUGGCAUCACCGUCCUCCUUCUCUAAGCCAGCUCCCCCCUUCUUAUUCUCCAUCCGGCCCUCACCUUUCUCUUCCACCCAGCCCUCACCCUCCUUCUCAUCCUCCACCCCAGCUUCAUCCUCCUUCUCGUCCUCCACCCCUGGCUCACCUUCCUCUUUGUCCCACAUCCCAGCUUCACUCUCCUCAUCCUCCACCCCUGCCCCACACUCCUUCUUGUCCUCCACUUGAGCCUCUCCCUCCUCAGCCUCGACAUCCUCCUCCUCUUGCUCGACCCCAACCACACUCUCUCUCUCAUCCUCCACCCCAAUCUCAUCCUCCUUAUCAUUUUUCUCCUCCUCCAACCCAGCCUCAAGCCCCUUCUCAUCCUAAAGCCCAGCUUCACCCUGCUUAUUGUCCAGCCCAGCCUCACUCUGCUCCUCAUCCUACAAUCCGGCUUCACCCUGCUCAUCUUGCAGCCCAGCUUCAGCUGGAUGUUCUAAGCCACCCUCAUCCUCCUCGUUCUUCAACUCGGCCUCACCCUCCUUCUGACCCUCAGCCCCAGACUCACCCUCCUGUCCCUCUAAUCCGGGCUUACCCUCCUCUUCCGGCAUCCCCUCCACACCCUCCUGCUCAUCUCACCUACCGACCUCACCAUUCUUGUAUUCCUAAACCCCGGCCCCAACCCCGUGCUCAGCUUCCACGCAAGCCUUUUUCUCCCUUUCUUUCACCUUGGCCUCAUGCUCCUGACUCUUCAUACCCACUUCAGGCUUGUUUUCCUUCACUACAUCAGUCUUCCACUCCUUCUCACCCUUCACGCCAUCUUCAAACUCCUGCUGCCAGUACAUCCUGGCAUCCCUCUCCUGCAAAUUUCCCUCUCUCUCCUGGCCCUCCAUGCCAGCCUCACCCUCCCUUGGAUCCUCCAUCCAAGUCUCUCCCUCCUUCUGGUAUAUUUCCUGAUUAUUCUCCAGUCCUCCUAUCUGAUGAGUCUUCUGAGAAUUCCAGCAUAGAGGAGAUCACACCCGCAUGCAGUGAAUGUCUCUCAGAUUUCUGCUCCACAUUUCCCCCCACUCUUGAUAAUAACUCUGCCAAUGACUUGGCCUCAUUUCAAUUCAUAAUCAGCUCUUCUGUUCCUACCAAACCUCCCCUUUUCCUCCCUGUGAAUUUGCCUCCCCUUUCCAGUUCCCCCUCUGACUUCUCCUUGAGUCCUCCUGACAGCCCUACUUAUUAGUCCCCUGUACUCCACCCUGCAAAUCCAGUCACCUCAUGAUUCAUGAAUCUCCUCUGGAGGGAUAUUCUCCCUCCUGCUGGGCCAGUUCUGGUACAUCUCACAAUGGAAGCACUCUGGAUGUCCAGCAGCCUGACCAGGUGGGUAUAGGUAAUGUAGAUGAUGGAAAACCAGCCCUCAUCCUGAAAUGUCAUCUUGGUUAGUUACAAGACCCCUCAUUGUGAAGAGAUCACAGUUAUUUGAGCACUGUGUGUACUUUCACUCCAUCUUGUUCACUCUCUUCAGAUGCCAGAGAAACUCAAAAAUUGCCUUUUCUCCAGACAGCCUGCUUCAGCCUCUCUCUGUAUAUACUGGUUUCCUCAUGGAAUGUAGUUGUUUCCACUGAACAAAAUGGAGGAAGAAUGAUAGAGAGGAGAUGGAAGGCGAAGAGGGGAGUCAUCGCCUCUGUUCUCCUGCAGGAGGGUGGAUGUAAAUGUAGAAGCACCUAGCUCCUGUGUGUAGAGUCUCUACAAGCAGUUUCUCUCUUGGAUCCAUGGUGGUCUACUAGUCAAGCUCGAUCCAGAGAAUCUGUAAGAUGUCUUAGCGCUGGAUUACAUUGGAAGCCAAAAUGGGUUUGUGAGAGAAAGGAGAAAAGAGGAAGAUUCCAGGCCAUCAAGCAGGACAUUCAGUAAGGAGUUAUAAGCUUGGUACAGGUGGUGUCAAUGAAGAAAACCCAGCUCCUGUGUGUCAUCUCCACAAAUCAUUUCUUGGUGGAAUUCAGGGAUGUCUACUAAUCAGGCUCACUCCAGACAAGCUGCAAUAGAUGCCUUAGCACUGGAUUACAUUGGAAACCAAAAUGGAAUUGUGAGGUGUUCUCAGAAAGGGUAAAGGAGGAAUAGCUUCCACACCACAGAGUAGCACAUACAAAAGGAGUUAUGAAUUGUUCCAAACAGCAAAUGUGUUCAACCGCGUUUUUCUGUAAGGUUUCAGAUCUGGAAGAAUUCAUGUAUGGAAAGAGCUUCACAAGCCAGAAAAAUCAAAUGUUGGAUUUGCAGUUGUAACUCUCCUGGAAACUUCAGAAACAGUGGCAUUGCCUCCAGAUUUUUAGCCCAGAAGGCUGAGCUCAAAGCUCUCACCCAUGCAUUCUGCCUUAGAGCAGCAUAUACAACACUGUACUAGAUUCCACAAAUAGAAGGAAUGAUGUUUGCAAGACAGAAUCCCAAGUUCAAGGAAUUGAGAGAUCUUCAUACUUUCAUAAAAGCAUAAUAUAUAAACUGAUAAAAUGAUAAUUUAUUACAAUACUUAACAGGUAAGAGUUACUAAUUGUCACUGCUUCUGUUCCAUUCCAUAUGUUUAUACUUUGAUCUUUAUUUUACUUUGCACCAUUAAAAUAUUAGCAAUGAUAACAAUAUAUCUCUCAUUUUUGAGUACAUACAAUUUCACACUGUAUUAAUCUAUUAUACACUACCAUAAUAGGAAUAGAAGUAGCUUUUAUUAAAAAAAUAAAAAACGGGAAGCUGGGUGUGGUUCAUCAAUCCUGGUGAGUAUAGUAAUAUAAUAUGUUAAUAAUAAGGAAGUGGGGCUUCAGGGACAGAACUCUUUGUAUUAAAAGAAAAGACUUCAUAUGAUAGAAUAUAGUCUUGUUACAAGAGCCUAAAAUUUAUUCAAUGUUUGAUCAAUUUUUUUUCCCAAAAUAGCUCCUCUGGCUUUCACAAUAUUACUUUCUUGGCUUCAAAUGGCUAACUAAAAGUAAAUACUUCCUUAAUUGAAUUCCCAUCAAAUUUUUUUGUGUGUGUAGCACAAUGCUUAAUGAUUAGAAGGAGGAUAAAAAUAAUUAUUUUCUGACUUAAUAGUUACCUUAAAAUGAUACUUUAAAAGAAAAAAAAUGUUGCUGAUAAAGGUAGACAAGAUCCAGCCCAGAUUUGCCUCUCCUGUGAAGAAUUUUUGGUAUAUUCAAAUGAUAGAAAUAUAAAAGUAAAGAGAAUAGCUAGCAUUAAUAAAGUGCCUACAAUGUAUCAAACAUUGUUCUAACUACUUUAUGCAUGUUAUUUCACUUUGGUCUCCACAAAACCUUUGUGAUAUGAAUGAUCAUUAGUUCCCUUUUAGUGAGAAAAUCUAGCUAGUCUUUAAGUAACUUGCCUGAGGUCAGAUGAUACAAUGAUGGAGACAGUUUUGAACUCAGGCAGUCAUACAUCAUAUUCUCUGUUUCCUCUGGAUUCUGACUGCAUGAAACAAAGUGGGAACAAGGUCAUAUUUCCAAGGGAUUAUUUACUCAUUCUCCAGCUAGAAUGGAAGAUUUCUGUUGCAACUUUAUUGAAACUGUAUGCUCUUUCAAGCUCUGGAUGUCAAGAUAUUCAAUAAAUAUUUCUGGGCUGAUUGCAUUGAAAGAAGUUAUAGGGCUAGGUAUAAAUUCAAAAGCCCCCUCAAAAUGUUGGAUGUUCAGAUAGAGGUGCAAAUGGAAGUGGGAAAAAAAGAAAUUCCUAAGCAUAAGGGUUUUUUUUCACAUUGUAAAGUACUUGAUCACUUAAAAAUUAAAUAAAUGCAGGCUGAUGCUGUAGCGUAGCAGGUAAAGCCGAUGCCUGCAGUGCCUGCAUCCCAAGUGGGCACUGGUUUGAGUCCUGGCUGCUCCGUAGCUCUCUGCUAUGGCCUGGGAAAGCAGUAGAAGAUGGCCCAAGUGCUUGGGCCCCUGCACCUGCAUGGCAGACCCAGAGGAAGCUCCUGGUUCCUGGCUUCAGAUUGGCACAGCUCUGGCUGUUCUGGCCAAUUGGGGAGUGAACCAUCGGAUAGAAGACUUCUCUCUCUCUGCCUCUCCUCUCUCUGUGUAACUCUUUCAAAUAAAUAAAUAAAUAAAUCUUUUUUAAAAUUAAAUACAGCAUAUAAGUCAGAAAACAAAUUACUGACUUGUGCUACUGAUAAAGUGUGUUCUCUAAAAAGCAUGGUGCAUCAUUUAAGUCUCUGCUCGGUACCCUCACAUCCCAAAUGCAGUGCCUGUAUUCAAGUUCCAGCUCUGCUUCUGAUUCCAGGUUGUGCGGAUGCAGACCUUGAAAGACAACUGCUUGUGGAUCAAACACUUAGGUCCCUCUCAUGUGAGUGAUCUUUAUUGAGUUCCUACCCUUUGCUCCAACUGAAAUACAUUCCCAGCUGCACAGGCAAAGACUUCUUGGAAAAGACCCCAGAGGCACAAGCAGUCAAAGCCAAAAUUAACAAUUGGGAUUACAUCAAAUUGAGACGUUUCUGUACUGCAAAAGAAACAGUCAGGAAAGUGAAGAGACAACCGACAGAAUGGGAAAAAAUAUUUGCAAACUAUGCUACAGAUAAAGGAUUAAUAACCAGAAUCUACAAAGAGAUCUAGAAACUCCACAACAUCAAAACAAACAACCCACUCAAGAGAUGGGCCAAGGACCUCAAUAGACAUUUUUCAAAAGAGGAAAUCCAAAUGGCCAACAGGCACAUGAAAAAAUGUUCAGGAUCACUAGCCAUCAGGGAAAUACAAAUCAAAACCACAAUGAGGUUUCACCUCACCCCGGUUAGAAUGGCUCACAUGCAGAAAUCUACCAACAAUAAAUGCUGGAGAGGAUGUGGGGAAAAAGGGACACUAACCCACUGUUGGUGGGAAUGCAAACUGGUUAAGCCACUAUGGAAGUCAGUCUGGAGUUUCCUCAGAAACCUGAAUAUAACCCUACCAUACAACCCAGCCAUCCCACUCCUUGGAAUUUAUCCAAAGGAUAUUAAAUCGGCAAAUGAAAGAGCUGUCUGCACCUUAAUGUUUAUUGCAGCUCAAUUCACAAUAGCUAAGACCUGGAAUCAACCUAAAUUCCCAUUAACAGUGGACUGAAUAAAGAAAUUAUGGGAUAUGUACUCUAUAGAAUAUUAUACACCAGUAAAAAAGGAAAUCCGGUCAUUUGCAACAAAAUGGAGGAAUCUGGAAAACAUCAUGCUGAGUGAAUUAAGCCAGUCCCAAAGGGGCAAAUAUCAUAUGUUCUCCCUGAUCGGUGACAACUAACCAAGCACCAAAAAGGAAACCUGUUGAAGUGAAAGGGACACUAUGAGAAACAGUGACUUGAUCAGCCCUUGUCCUGACUGUUGAUGUACAACUUAAUACUUUACCCCUUUUAGUAUUUUGUUUUGUUCUACUUAAUACUACUGGUUGAACUCUUUAAUUAACACACAAUUAUUCUUAGGUGUUUAAAUUUAACUGAAAAGUGAUCCCUGUUAAAUAUAAGAGUGGGAAUAAGAGAGGCAGGAGAUGUACAGUUUGGCACAUGUUCAAUCAGACUUGUCCCAAAUGGUAGAGUUAGAAACGUGCCAGGGGAUUCCAAUUCAAUCCCAUCAAGGUGGCAUGUAUCAAUGCCAUCUCACUAGUCCAAGUGAUCAAUUUCAGUUCACAAUUGAUCAUAAUGAUAGGAUUUA